rnacentral:rRNA from 1 species
UACGUAGGGUGCGAGCGUUGCCCGGAUUUAUUGGGCGUAAAGGGCGCGUAGGCGGUCACGCACGUCCGUUGUGAAAUCGCUCGGCUCAACUGGGCGGGGUCAGCGGAUACGGCGUGGCUGGAGCAAGCUAGGGGGCAAUGGAAUUCCCGGGUGUAGUGGUGGAAUGCGUAGAUAUCGGGAGGAACACCAGUGGCGAAGGCGGUUGCCUGGAGCUUUGCUGACGCUGAUGCGCGAAAGCGUGGGGAGCGAGUCCGG